rnacentral:rRNA from 1 species
CGCUGGCGGCAUGCCUAACACAUGCAAGUCGAACGAAGCCUUCGGGCUUAGUGGCGCACGGGUGCGUUAACACGUCGGGAAUCUGCCCUUCGGUUCGGAAUAACAGUUAGAAAUGACUGCUAAUACCGGAUGAUGACGUAAGUCCAAAGAUUUAUCGCCGAAGGAUGAGCCCGCGUAGGAUUAGGUAGUUGGUAGGGUAAUGGCCUACCAAGCCGACGAUCCUUAGCUGGUCUGAGAGGAUGAUCAGCCACACUGGGACUGAGACACGGCCCAGACUCCUACGGGAGGCAGCAGUGGGAAUAUUGGACAAUGGGCGAAAGCCUGAUCCAGCAAUGCCGCGUGAGUGAUGAAGGCCUUAGGGUUGUAAAGCUCUUUUACCAGGGAUGAUAAUGACAGUACCUGGAGAAUAAGCUCCGGCUAACUCCGUG